AAGUACAUUCCUACAGCAUAGGGGUAAUGCAUCGAAUCCCAUUAGAACUCUGUAGUUAAGCGUGAUUAGGCUACAAUAGUACUGGGAUGGGUGACCUCCCGGGAAGUCCUAGUGUUUUACAUG
rnacentral:rRNA from 1 species